AAGGCCUGUACACAUUCAGCUGUUGUGCUGUUGUCAGCUGAAAUAGGCUCCGCCCACCGCUUCUGGCUGACGGAACUGUAUACAUUUGGCUGAUGAGAAAUGUCAGCACUGGCUGGCUGUUUACAAAUAUGGCGUUGUAAACAAAUAUUUCGUCUCAUCUUCAUGUUCUUUAUUAAUACAAUACUUAAGCAGUUAGAUAUAUUAUCAAAAUAUUUACAGACAAUGUGCGAAAGUAAUAAGUAUUUGUCUUGUAUCGACAAUUAAUUAUGAAACCAAAUAUAUGUGAAUAGCGCCAACAUGGUGUCCAAAUUUCAUUUAUCUGCAGUGCUCAAUAAAAAUAUGGCACGUGAUUUGCUUUCAUGCGCCACUACCAGUGUCUAAAUGCGUCAUUUAUGGCUUUUGCUGACGGCUCGGCAUCUCUUCACUUGCUUUCUCGUAGCAGCACAGCCCGUCAGCCCAUGCUGCCGGCAGCAGAGAGGUGACGUCAUGUUGCAAGUGCAACAAAACGUCAUCAAUUUUUCAGCCAAUAGUUGCCUGGCAGUGUGUCAUCGACACAACGCCUCGAGGUCAGAAACCAAGCUAGUACCUCAUCCAUUGGCACUGACACGAUGCGCCCAGCAUCCUGCUCGAUGCUCGACCUGGAGAAGCCUCGGGCUGCUGACGUACUGCAUGGCCGCGUCCUGGAGCUGAGGGGUGGCGGCGUGCCGCGCUUGACCUGUGAUCGGCUGUGUGCUCGAGACUGGUUCCGAGACCUGGCCCGCCACCGACGAGGUCUCCUGAGCCCUGGCCGCUGAGCGGAAGAUGCGAGGCUGGGGAGAGGCGACGUCUGCCUGGCGCGGACGACUGCGUGAGCUGCUCGGGCGAACGCUGAGUGGAGAGGUGUAGCGGAUGAUGGACUAUAGUUUUGCGCACGGUUUCGGCAUUACGGUUCGCCGGCGCGGUGCGUCUGUACGAUAUCUGAGUGACUGGCCGGAGAACGGGCAGGUGACAGUGCAUGGCCACGGAGGCUGAGUGCUGGAUGCUAAAGCUGCUGUGUCUCUGCUUGCAGAAACCCCACUUUGCUGCAUGCGCGAAGGCUGUGUUUUGUGCCAUUCCUUCUGUUUCUAUCUUUUCCUUUGUUUGCCUUUCAAUGUAUCCUUCCCUUUACGUCUUUCAUUUUUGUGUACUAUAAAGCGUUCAACGUACA